AAACAACUCUGAGCUUUCGGGAUUUCCUCCGCAAACUACGUCACAAGCCUGCUGACGUCAACCUUUUUAUAAAGGUCUAUAAUUAAAGCAACGGACUUUGGAUUUGUUGGAGCUGAAAGGUUCAUCAUCAUGGUUAUCUGCCCUACCACUGAAAGACCAAGGCUUCAGUCUAAACAAGGGCGAGUUUCGUGAUGCGUUGAGCCUCAGGUACGGAUGGCAACUGAAAAAUCUUCCCCAAUAUUGCAUAUGUGGGACUAGUUUGUCGACCGAUCAUGCCAUGAUAUGCCCACACGGAGGAAUGACUAUAUCUCGUCAUAACGAAAUCCGUGAUCUUACCGCUGAUUGGAUGAGUGAAGUAUGCAGAGAGGCGGAAACCGGACCGCCAUUGCAGCCCUUAUCUGGAGAGAUUAUCCUUCCCCGUUCCGCAAAUAAACGAGAAGAUGCCCGGGUCGAUAUUAAGACUAUCGGACUUUGGGGACGGCAGCAAAGCGCAUUUUUUGAUGUUAGGGUUUUUCACCCCAACGCGCCAAGCUACCGUGACAAAAGUGUCGCAGCUUUAUUCCGGAAACAUGAACUAGAUAAGAAGAGAGAAUAUGGCGAUCGGAUAAGGGAAGUUGAAAAUGGUUCCUUUACACCACUGGUCUUUUCAACAACAGGAGGUGCCAGCGGAGAAACAACAGUGGUUUAUAAAAGAUUAGCGAAACUUUUGGCCAAC